AGUCGAACGAACUCUGGUAUUGAUUGGUGCUUGCAUCAUGAUUUACAUUUGAGUGAGUGGCGAACUGGUGAGUAACACGUGGGAAACCUGCCCAGAAGCGGGGGAUAACACCUGGAAACAGAUGCUAAUACCGCAUAACAACUUGGACCGCAUGGUCCGAGCUUGAAAGAUGGCUUCGGCUAUCACUUUUGGAUGGUCCCGCGGCGUAUUAGCUAGAUGGUGGGGUAACGGCUCACCAUGGCAAUGAUACGUAGCCGACCUGAGAGGGUAAUCGGCCACAUUGGGACUGAGACACGGCCCAAACUCCUACGGGAGGCAGCAGUAGGGAAUCUUCCACAAUGGACGAAAGUCUGAUGGAGCAACGCCGCGUGAGUGAAGAAGGGUUUCGGCUCGUAAAACUCUGUUGUUAAAGAAGAACAUAUCUGAGAGUAACUGUUCAGGUAUUGACGGUAUUUAACCAGAAAGCCACGGCUAACUACGUGCCAGCAGCCGCGGUAAUACGUAGGUGGCAAGCGUUGUCCGGAUUUAUUGGGCGUAAAGCGAGCGCAGGCGGUUUUUUAAGUCUGAUGUGAAAGCCUUCGGCUCAACCGAAGAAGUGCAUCGGAAACUGGG
rnacentral:rRNA from 2 species